rnacentral:rRNA from 1 species
UUAAACACCGGUUCUUGUACGAUCACUGAAGUUAAGCAACAUCAAGCAUGGUCAGUACCUAGAUGGGUGACUGCUUGGAAGUACCAGGUGCUGG